rnacentral:hammerhead_ribozyme from 1 species
GUAUUACUGAAGAGUCCCAAAUUAGGACGAAGCGGAUGUCCAGUAC